UGUUUUUAGGUAUUAUUCAAUAUUAUUUUGAUUAUUGUGGUCUGUUUUUAGGUAUUAUUCAAUAUUAUUUUGAUUAUUUUGGUUUGUUUUUAGGUUAUCGAAAUUUGGUACUCGUUACAGGUUAUUGUGAUUUUUUUUAGGUUAUUGAAAUUAGAGAGGAAUUACGAUUCGAUUAUUUGCACUAAUUUGAUGGUUGAAUUUUGUGGUUUAUCAAUUUUUGGUUGUUAUUGCGGUUUGUUGUUAGGUUAGUGGAAAUUUGAUUACAGUUUGAUUAUUGUGUUGUUAUUUGCACUAAUUUGAUGGUUGAAUUUUGUGGUUUGUCAAUUUUUGGUUGUUAUUGCGGUUUGUUUUUAGGUUAGUGAAAAUUUGAUUACGGUUUGAUUAUUGUGUUGUUAUUAUUGCACUAAUUUGAUGGUUGAAUUUUGUGGUCUUGUUAGGUUAUUGUAAUUUUUGUCUUUACGGUUCGAUUAUUGUGUUGUUAUAUGAAGUUUGUGGUAUUAUGAGUUUUUUUUUGUAUGUUUAUUGCGGUUUUCUUUUAGGUUAUUUAAGUUUUGAGUGUCCUUACAAUUGGAUUAUUGUUUUUUUAUUUGCACAAUUUUGACGGUUGAAUUUUGGAACCUAACGGGCGAUAAGAAUCAAUUUAUUUCGCUCUAUGGCUAGGUUUCUUAUCAGAAUCUUUGUUAUUCUUUUGAGAACUGCCUUAAUUUUUGUUUUGCUUUCUUUGUGUCAAAGAAGAGCAACUAAAUUGGAACUUUGAUGAAAUAUUUGUGGAAGACCUAAUUAUUACCUUUCCCUUGUUGCCAUUGAAGAGAGAGCAAAUAGAAUUGAAGUCAAGUGUGUAAUUUAUAGAACAGUCAGGCAGGGAUGCGAGAGGAUCAAUUCUUCAUUUCCACAUGGUUAAGUUUGCUAAAAUUUGACAAUAUGUUAAACGUUUCUUUGGUAACUAAUCAAAAGAUAUUGUACAUAAGAAAAGAAAUUAAUCAUUUAGAUUAUUGAAAAGAAUAAAAUUACAUAGGUUAAAAUGACCUAUGUGAUAUUGAAAGGAGAGCAAUCUUGGAUGUGUGUGGGUAGGUUAAAAUGACCUAUGUGAUAUUGAAAGGAGAGCAAUCUUGGAUGUGUGUGGGUAGGUUAAAAUGACCUAUGUGAUAUUGAAAGGAGAGCAAUCUUGGAUGUGUGCGGGGAUAUAUAUCAACAGAACUCGUGUUUAAAUGACAAAAACCAGAUCUUCCUGAACCAGUGUUUUGAUUGAUUAAUUUUGUGAUGUCAUGCUAAAUUAAGAACUCUGUUUUCGCAUUGAAUUGUAUAAAUGUGGCAGAAUUUGAUUUACAUAUUUAUCUUUUUAUUUGUUCAGUUUUUUCUAGUAUAGAGUUUUACUAUGGCUUGUAUUUCUCAUCUGGACCUUGAUUGAUUUCACGGUUACAGG
rnacentral:lncRNA from 1 species